rnacentral:rRNA from 1 species
GACGAACGCUGGCGGCGUGCUUAACACAUGCAAGUCGAACGGAAAGGCCCUGCUUGCAGGGUGCUCGAGUGGCGAACGGGUGAGUAACACGUGGGUGAUCUGCCCCUUACUUUGGGAUAAGCCUGGGAAACUGGGUCUAAUACUGGAUAGGACCAUGCUGUAGGUGGUGUGGUGGAAAGAUUAGUUUCGGUAAGGGAUGAGCUCGCGGCCUAUCAGCUUGUUGGUGGGGUAAUGGCCUACCAAGGCGUCGACGGGUAGCCGGCCUGAGAGGGUGGACAGCCACAUUGGGACUGAGAUACGGCCCAGACUCCUACGGGAGGCAGCAGUGGGGAAAAUGGCACAAUGGGCGCAAGCGUGAUGCAGCGACGCCGCGUGGGGGAUGACGGCCUUCGGGUUGUAAACGCCUUUCAGCCAUGACGAAGCCCGUGUGGUGACGGUAGUGGUAGAAGAAGCACCGGCUAACUACGUG